rnacentral:rRNA from 1 species
UACGGAGGGUGCGAGCGUUGUCCGGAAUCAUUGGGCGUAAAGGGCGCGUAGGCGGCCCUCUUAGUCGCGUGUGAAAGCCCCGGGCUCAACCUGGGGGCUGCGUUUGAUACGUGCGGACUUGAGUGCGGAAGAGGGUCGUGGAAUCCCAGUGUAGAGGUGAAAUUCGUAGAUAGUUGGGAAGAACACCGGUGGCGAAGGCGGCGACCAUGGUCCGAUACUGACGCUGAGGCGCGAAAGCGUGGGAGCAAACAGG